rnacentral:rRNA from 1 species
CCUAACACAUGCAAGUCGAGCGGAUGACGGGAGCUUGCUCCUUGAUUCAGCGGCGGACGGGUGAGUAAUGCCUAGGAAUCUGCCUGGUAGUGGGGGACAACGUUUCGAAAGGAACGCUAAUACCGCAUACGUCCUACGGGAGAAAGCAGGGGACCUUCGGGCCUUGCGCUAUCAGAUGAGCCUAGGUCGGAUUAGCUAGUUGGUGGGGUAAUGGCUCACCAAGGCGACGAUCCGUAACUGGUCUGAGAGGAUGAUCAGUCACACUGGAACUGAGACACGGUCCAGACUCCUACGGGAGGCAGCAGUGGGGAAUAUUGGACAAUGGGCGAAAGCCUGAUCCAGCCAUGCCGCGUGUGUGAAGAAGGUCUUCGGAUUGUAAAGCACUUUAAGUUGGGAGGAAGGGCAGUAAGYUAAUACCUUGCUGUUUUGACGUUACCGACAGAAUAAGCACCGGCUAACUCUGUGCCAGCAGCCGCGGUAAUACAGAGGGUGCAAGCGUUAAUCGGAAUUACUGGGCGUAAAGCGCGCGUAGGUGGUUUGUUAAGUUGGAUGUGAAAGCCCCGGGCUCAACCUGGGAACUGCAUCCAAAACUGGCAAGCUAGAGUACGGUAGAGGGUGGUGGAAUUUCCUGUGUAGCGGUGAAAUGCGUAGAUAUAGGAAGG